rnacentral:rRNA from 1 species
UAGGGAAUCUUCGGCAAUGGGGGGAACCCUGACCGAGCAACGCCGCGUGAGUGAAGAAGGCUUUCGGAUCGUAAAGCUCUGUUGUUAAGGAAGAACGAGUGUGAGAAUGGAAAGUUCAUGCUGUGACGGUACUUAACCAGAAAGGGACGGCUAACUACGUGCCAGCAGCCGCGGUAAUACGUAGGUCCCGAGCGUUGUCCGGAUUUAUUGGGCGUAAAGCGAGCGCAGGCGGUUAGAAAAGUCUGAAGUGAAAGGCAGUGGCUCAACCAUUGUAUGCUUUGGAAACUGUUUAACUUGAGUGCAGAAGGGGAGAGUGGAAUUCCAUGUGUAGCGGUGAAAUGCGUAGAUAUAUGGAGGAACACCGGUGGCGAAAGCGGCUCUCUGGUCUGUAACUGACGCUGAGGCUCGAAAGCGUGGGGAGCGAACAGG